ACGUUCGGCAGCAUACAUACUAAAAUCAGAACGACACAAAUGGGAUUAGCAUAGCCCCCGCUCAAGGAGGACAAACAAAUUCGUGAGGUGUCCCAUUUAUUU